AUGAUUUAAGCAACACUAAGCGGCCGAGUUUCGUAGCGUACGACUCUCACGCGUCUGCGUUUACGCUUCUCGAAGCCAGCGGCGAAGGAAGCGUUCGAAGAAAACAUGCCCGCGGUAUACCGAUCCUCUCGUUUUCUGCAAACCAUCGGCAUCAUCAUAUGGCUUUUGGAAAUUCUAGCAUGUGGACUUUUGAAGACUUAUAUUUACAUUUACAUUAAUAUUUUACAUCAUACGUUUGUCAUAUCCGACUUCACUUUAAAGGGUUCAGACCCUGCUAAGGUAACUUUGCUGCUAUACUAUUGUAUCCUAGUUAUUAUUAUAAUAGUGUCUUGAACGUAGGGGAAGUCGUCACGACAGCGACGAAGAAAGCCUUGAAGCGAUAAGGGUUGGCGACUCGGUGACGACAAGAAGAAAAAUUCGUGAGGGUGGCCCUCGAGGGGAUGUCCGCAGGAUUUCGCCCAGCUGGCAAAGCGAGGCCAAGCCGACACUGGUAUUGAUUACGAAGGAAGACCGCACCCUCUGCCACCCUUUUGCUCGGGCCUCGACGUAACGGGGUUGGCCAACGGCAAACGCUGCGAUACACUGCAUCGAGAGAGAAAUCCUGCGCAGUCGUCGCUGAAUCUCUGCGACUGCCCCUCUAUUCAGACUCCAGACGAUCAAUUCUCGCACCCUCAUGCCAAGGAAAUUCACUUCUUUUGUCUGCAUUUUAAGAUACCUUUCUUUUCAUACUUUGCUGAAGACAUUCUAUGCCCAUAAAUUAACGUUGCAGUAAAAAAUACUUCGUCUUAAAGAAAGCUAUUGUAGAAGAAAUAUGAGUACAAAAUGUUAGCAACAAUUCUUGAAGGUUGAAGCGGUACGAAGUAUAUGCAAAUAUGAUUUGUGUAGCAGCAUAAAUAUGAGAAGAGAUGAUGUUUCAUUGCAGCUUUCAAAAUGGAGUAAAAGCCAUUCCGCAUUGCCAAAUUUAGGGAUGAACCAACCCCUCGGAGGGAUGCUGCUCCAAUCAGAGCCACGUUCCCCUAUGGGGCAUCUCGCGAAUCAGAUCUGCGCAGCAUCCCUUCGGACCAACCCCUGCAAGAAAAAUGGCGGACACCUAUGCCUUCGAAUUAAUUCGUACAUCGAUGCACAUCGACAGGAACUAAUUUGUCGGAAAGGGGAAAGGCCAAUUACUGGAAUAUCGAGACCUUCGAGACACGGUGGUUGGCGAUAUUCGUGGUUGAUGAUCUCGAAUAUAUUAUCGAGGAUGAAGAGAGAGUCCCUCUCUGUUUAUAAGCAUCGUUGAUUUCAGAUACGAGGCUGCAGCGUUCCAGAAGCCUCGAGCCUCUUUCGCGGUGGCUGGUUUGGACUCGCCCAACCGGUAGUGUGGUCGAGGAACCAGUGAACGUCCUCCUUUUUGCCCCUUUUUUCGACCCGUUUUCAUUGACAUGAGAUAUGAACGGUUCUAAGAAAUUAAUAUCGCCGAUACGCGAUGCACGAUCGCUUUAGCCAUCGAGAGCAACUGGAAUUCGCCGAUUAAUUUCGACGAUUGUAGCUGAUUGCUAUUAAGUGAAUUUGGUGGAUGCACUUUUGUAUUACUGCAGUAGACACUUUGCAAAAUUUAGAGAAGCUUAGACUUGUGGAUAUCUCAAGAAUACACCUUAACUGGAACUUAACCUAACCUGACUUUGAGGAACUUAAUGCAGUACCUUAGAACUGGAACUUAACCUAACAUAACUUUGGAGAACUUAAUGCAGUACCUCAGAACUGGAACUUAAUCUAACUUAACUUUCAGGAACUUAAUGCAGUACCUUAGAACUGGAACUUAACCUAAUAUAACUUUCAGGAACUUAAUGCAGUACCUUAGAAUUGGAACUUAACCUAACAUAACUUUGGAGAACUUAAUACAGUACCUCAGAACUGGAACUUAAUCUAACUUAACUUUGAGGAACUUCAUACAGCACCUUAGAACUGUAACUUAACCUAACCUAACUUUGGAGAACUUAAUGCAGUACCUUAGAACUGGAACUUAACCUAAUAUAACUUUCAGGAACUUAAUGCAGUACCUUAGAACUGGAACUUAACCUAAUAUAACUUUCAGGAACUUAAUGCAGUACCUUAGAAUUGGAACUUAACCUAACAUAACUUUGAGGAACUUAAUGCAGUACCUUAGAAUUGGAACUUAACCUAACAUAACUUUGAGGAACUUAAUGCAGUACCUUAGAACUGGAACUUAAUCUAACCUAACUUUGAGGAACUUCAUACAGCACCUUAGAACUGUAACUUAACCUAACCUAACUUUGGAGAACUUAAUGCAGUACCUUAGAACUGGAACUUAACCUAACAUAACUUUGAGGAACUUAAUGCAGCACCUUAGAACUGUAACUUAACCUAACCUAACUUUGGAGAACUUAAUGCAGUACCUUAGAACUGUAACUUAACCUAACCUAACCUUAAGGAACUUAAUGCAGUACCUCACAGCUUAACCUAACCUACAGCUAGCAUCCACAUUAAGAGUUGAGUAUAGAGAAACCUUAACUAAGCUUCAGCCAAGACUUAAAUUGAAAGUAUACCUAAACCCAGCUAAGUGCAUAGGAUUGGCACUUCUUGAAGGAGCUGUAGCAGUUCGUAGAAACAUUCGUUGGGCUACCUACACGAACAGGCCCCGAGGGACCGAUCGGUCUGGCCAUAUUUGUCCACGGAGGCCACGAGAAGGCUGACGUCACCAAGGGUCGCGUUCUCCCGCAGACGUACUUGUCCUAGACGUGUUUCGUCUAUGGAUCUCUCGGUCACCAGGCCAUUUUCAAUCUUUACUUGAUUUUAGUGGGAAUGUAGCUGUUCCUUAACUGGUCACAAUGACUCAAUAGAGCACAAGGCUGACCUUAUUCGAGAGACGUUCUUUUAAUAAUUAAAAUAUAAAUACGGUGGUUGGAUUGUUUAAGGGUAAGUAAAUGUUGAUGGAUAAUAUUUUAAGAUUGUUCUAAGUACUUGUUUAAAGUUUUAGAUCGAUGAGCUCUGAACAAGGUCGAUGACAGGAAAAUCGAAUGGCAGACCGAACGGUAUUUCGAGGGAACGAACCUCGACGCGAGGAACUUCUCGCCGACUUCCGGUUGCUUGCAAUCAAGUUACAGAGACGUGACCGGCCGAUUAAAUCUACGCUAACGUCUGUCUACGCUUACGUGUCCAUCUCUAAAUAGCCACAUUGUACUCUCUCGAUUCACAAGUGUAAAACGUUAGAAAGUCAAUUUCAUGUUAUUUUAACAUAUUCUAGCAAAUAACAGUGGUAUGUUACAGGUGCGGAAUGAAAGAAUGAAGGAAAUGUACGACUAGGUACCUGGGAAUGCGAAGGAAAAACACUUAGGAAUGUUCUUGGAAUGGCAGAGGAGGAUAUCGCCAAAAUACAAUCAAAGGAACAAUCAUUUCCAACAGCUCAUCAAAUAAUACUUUGAGAAACGGUUAAAUGCCUACUGGGAAGCAUAGGUCACUCGGAACGUUAGCUAGUUGACCCUCUUCAAAAAUAGAGGGUUGUUUCGUAACGGCAGCCAGUCAGAAUGACUAAUAUUCCCAAGAAUCAUCGAAAGCGUUCUUCACCUGGCUUUCACGAAUGCGAGACCUAACGAAUCGAUUCGUUAGACACGGCUAAGAGUAAACAAGCCCGUAUAACUCGUAUACAUAAUUUGAUCGGUGCCCACAUUAAUAUUAAUGAUAUCGUUUCCUCCCCGCUCUUCACUUUUGUUUUCCUACUCUCUCUACUCGCCUUUCUCUCUUCCUCAUUUUUCACUUCUUCGUCAAAACAUUAUCGCCAGUUGCCAGGCGCGUGAAUGUAAAUAGGAAACGCGAGGACAAAGAAAAUGGAAAUCUUCGACAGUCGCGAAUAUAAUAAGACCAUAUUCUGUUUUUGCAAUGUAACGCAGCCUCGUCGCGACUGCAAAUGGUAAUUGGACUCGAAUGGCCGCGUUUCAAUGCACGACGAGGUUACGCGACACCUUACCAAAGGUCAAGAGGUUCUCUAUGAACCAACACCGUUUCUUUGUACCAUUUCUGUCGUCACUCUUUUCAAAGCCUUGUUGAAAUUAUUAGUCUAGGCUCACAUGCUCCAUAGCAUUUUCUAAAUUAUGCUAUAUAUUCUAUAUACAUACUGUAAUCCACUGUAAAAACUUUGUAUUUGCAAUAUAUAUUGCUCACAAGGUGGAAUCAGACAUGAACAUUCUUAGGCAUCACUAAUCUUGCAGGGUACCAAGGUAUAACUUUAGCAAGGCAUAAGGUAUAUCUUCAGGUACAUUCCUAUCUACCUAUGUACCUAUGUUUCAUUUUGUACAUGUCACCACCUAUGUGUAUAUUUCAGAAUAUCCACUAUACACAACUUUGUAUUUGGAAGGUGCCUACAUGUUGCUCACAAGGUGGAAUCAGACAUCAACAUUCUUAGGCAUCACUAAUCUUGCAGGGUACCAAGGUAUAACUUUAGCAAGGUAUAAGGUAUAUCUUUCAGGUAUAUUCCUAUCUACCUAUGUAUAUUUCAUUUUGUACAUGUCACUGUCUACAUGUAUAUUUCAGACUAUCCACUAAUCAUAAGUUCCAAUUGGACUGUCUAGCUGUACAAUGAUAGUCGUGGAAUUUUUGCAAAGCAAUUUCUUGCGGGGACACUGUUCUUGCACAGCAAAUGGACCAGUUAGAUCGGAGGCAAUCUUCUGGAACCUGUUGCGCCAUUGCUUCCUGAGCGCUGAUUAAUAGGACACCUGAACCAUAUAUCAUACAUAUGAACUUGUUUUCUUCUCGUAAGAAACUCAUGCAAAUUCUAUCAGGGCGAUAAAAAUUACACGCGUAUUACAAGUUGAGUAUUUUUUUGCUGUAACGCGUCAGAGCGACAAGUAACGGUAACGAUAAAGAAUUUUCUAUUUCGAAUCGGAUUACAGGGGAGCAAUUCAUGAGGCGUUAAAAGGUCAUUCCCGAAUCAUCUGUACCCUUCGUAAUGACCCAGAUACGACGUUUUAAGCGUAGCACAGUUUAGCGCCGGUAAGUGUACAUAAAUCACACGGAAGACAACGAGCAGGAAAUGAACGCAUGCCAGACAACAUUGAUUUACAGACGGGCAGUUCGGGAAAGUAUGAACGCUGUGUAGAACAAUUUGUUUGUUGUUUAACAAUUAACUGAAUGAGUAGAUUAAACAAACGUGAAGGUCGUCGAUUCAUCAGUGACGAAGAAAUUGAGAAAUCGUAACGCCAUACACAGUGAAUUCGAGCUAUCGCACGAUCUAUGUACAACUGGGC